CCUACGGGAGGCAGCAGUGGGGAAUAUUGCACAAUGGGGGAAACCCUGAUGCAGCGACGCCGCGUGAGUGAAGAAGUAAUUCGGUAUGUAAAGCUCUAUCAGCAGGGAAGAAAAUGACGGUACCUGAGUAAGAAGCCCCGGCUAACUACGUGCCAGCAGCCGCGGUAAUACGUAGGGGGCAAGCGUUAUCCGGAUUUACUGGGUGUAAAGGGAGCGUAGUCGGCAGUGGAAGUCUGGAGUGAAAGGCGGGGGCUCAACCCCCGGACUGCUUUGAAAACUGUACGGCUGGAGUGCAGGAGAGGUAAGUGGAAUUCCUGGUGUAGCGGUGAAAUGCGUAGAUAUUAGGAGGAACACGAGUGGCGAAGGAGGAUUACGGGACUGUAACUGCGGUUGAGGCUCGAAGGCGUGGUGAGCAAACAGGAUUAGAUACCCGGUAGUC
rnacentral:rRNA from 1 species